rnacentral:RNase_P_RNA from 1 species
CAAGUAGUCUGGGUGAUCGCGCCUAUCAUCUGAAGAUGGUAGGUGAGGAAAGUCCGGGCUCCAUAGGGCAAGGUGCUGGGUAACGCCCAGUGGGGGUGACCCCGAGGAUAGUGCCACAGAAAUGAAACCGCCCGGCAUAGCCGGGUAAGGGUGCAAUGGUGCGGUAAGAGCGCACCGGCGGUCAGGUGACUGGCCGGCCAGGUAAACCCCACCUGGAGCAAGACCAAAUAGGGAGGCUUUGAAGUUGCCCGCUUCGCCUCCGGGUAGGUUGCUUGAGAUCUCGGGCGACUGGGAUCCUAGAUAGAUGAUCACCACCUUUGCAAUGAAGGUACAGAACCCGGCUUAUAGGA